rnacentral:rRNA from 1 species
AGCAGCCGCGGUAAUUCCAGCUCCAAUAGCGUAUAUUAAAGUUGUUGCAGUUAAAAAGCUCGUAGUUGAAUUUCGGGAUUGACGUGAUGGUCGUGCCUUGCGGGGUGUGAACUGUUGCAGUCAAUUUCUCACCUUCUGGAGAAAUAUGAUGUCCUUAAUUGGGUGUCAUAUGGAACCAGAACUUUUACCUUGAAAAAUUAGAGUGUUUAAAGCAGGCUUAUUGCUCGAAUACAUUAGCAUGGAAUAAUAAAAUAGGACGGCAUGGUUCUAUUUUGUGGUUUCUAGGAUCACCGUAAUGAUUAUAGGGAUAGUUGGGGGCAUUAGUAUUCAAUUGUCAGAGGUGAAAUUCUUGGAUUUAUUGAAGACUAACUACUGCGAAAGCAUUUGCCAAGGAUGUUUUCAUUAAUCAAGACGAAAGUUAGGGGAUCGAGACGAUCAGAUACCGUCGUAGUCUUAACCAUAAACUAUGCCGACUAGGGAUCGGAUGAUGUUAAUUUUUAAUGUACUCUACG